rnacentral:rRNA from 1 species
UACGGAGGAUCCGAGCGUUAUCCGGAUUUAUUGGGUUUAAAGGGAGCGUAGGCGGGUUGUUAAGUCAGUUGUGAAAGUUUGCGGCUCAACCGUAAAAUUGCAGUUGAUACUGGCAUCCUUGAGUACAGUAGAGGUAGGCGGAAUUCGUGGUGUAGCGGUGAAAUGCUUAGAUAUCACGAAGAACUCCGAUUGCGAAGGCAGCCUGCUGGACUGUAACUGACGCUGAUGCUCGAAAGUGUGGGUAUCAAACA